rnacentral:rRNA from 1 species
UAUCUCUGUAGAGUCUGCAUAUCAAUAAGCGGAGGAAAAGAAACUAACAAGGAUUCCCUUAGUAACGGCGAGUGAAGCGGGAAGAGCUCAAAUUUGAAAUCUUCAAGGUUUUACCUUGACGAAUUGUAGUUUAAAGAAGUGUUUUCUGUUGAAGUUUCGGUAAAAGUUCUUUGGAAUAGGACAUCAUGGAGGGUGAGAAUCCCGUAUUUGACCGUUAUUUUCAGCUGUGUGAUACACUUUCAAAGAGUCGGAUUGUUUGGGAAUGCAGUCCAAAAUGGGUGGUAAAUUUCAUCUAAAGCUAAAUAUUGGCGAGAGACCGAUAGCGAACAAGUACCGUGAGGGAAAGAUGAAAAGAACUUUGAAAAGAGAGUUAAACAGUACGUGAAGUUGUCAAAAGGGAAGCGUUUGACACCAGUGUUGUUUUCUCGAAAAUCAAUUAAAAAUGGCUUGAUUUUGUGUUGUAUUGACCUUUAAUCAGCUUUCUUCACUUUUUUCCUGUCUUUUUUAAUGCACUUUUCGUUUAACAAGUCAACAUCAGUUUCUUUUGUUGUAAAAGAGUCAUUGGAAGGUGGCUUUCUUUUCGGAGAAAGUGUUUAUAGCCUUUGACUUCUGCAGUCGGAGAGAUUGAGGUCUGCAGCGUAGAUCCUUCGGGGUUAGAUACAUUUGUGCUAAGUUAUAGCCUUUCAUAGACAACUUGUUGACUAUGAUCAGUCAUGUAGCUUACUCGCUUAUGUCAUUUUACCUACGCUUAGGAUGUUGAUCUCUCACAGUCGAGC